UACUUUUCAAAGUCAUAUUGAAAUGUCACAAAUUAUUCAACCAAUAUUACAAAUUAAACCAAUUAUUGUUACAUAAGCAAUAAAAGGCAAAAUUUUAUUAAUUCUCUUUGGACUUAUAACCGAACAGAAAAAGGAACACCCAAUUAAAAUGGCGGCUUUUUUUUAUAUUUCUUUCUGCACUGUGCAAUAUCGUAUCGUAUACCAAAAUCCGAGUGAUAUGCAGGACUGUGAAAACAAUCUCGACUAUCCAGCGACUGUCAGUACAUAAUUUAUAGCUUGCAACUGUGGUGAGAUAUACAAAUAAUAUAUGCGAGUGAAUUAUGGACAGAUCAGCUGCCCCCCUCGGGAGGAGAAAGUGGUUGAAAUAUGAAAUGUGAGCGAAGUAUAUUGUGAAUACGUUUGCAUUCAAAUGAGUAUAUGUAUCCAUACAUGAAUUUAACCAAUUACUGUUAUUAACUAAUAAAAGGAAAUUCUCUUUGAACUUAUAACCGAAAA